GACGAACGCUGGCGGCGUGCUUAACACAUGCAAGUCGAACGGAAAGGCCCUGCUUUUGUGGGGUGCUCGAGUGGCGAACGGGUGAGUAACACGUGAGUAACCUGCCCUUGACUUUGGGAUAACUUCAGGAAACUGGGGCUAAUACCGGAUAGGAGCUCCUGCUGCAUGGUGGGGGUUGGAACGUUUCGGCGGUUGGGGAUGGACUCGCGGCUUAUCAGCUUGUUGGUGGGGUAGUGGCUUACCAAGGCUUUGACGGGUAGCCGGCCUGAGAGGGUGACCGGCCACAUUGGGACUGAGAUACGGCCCAGACUCCUACGGGAGGCAGCAGUGUGGAAUAUUGCACAAUGGGCGGAAGCCUGAUGCAGCAACGCCGCGUGCGGGAUGACGGCCUUCGGGUUGUAAGCCGCUUUCGCCUGUGACGAAGCGUGAGUGACGGUAAUGUGUAAAGAAGCACCGGCUAACUACGUG
rnacentral:rRNA from 1 species